UCGCAUUCCUGUUGCAUCCCUGUUGCUUGGUUUCGUGUUUCUUUUCUCUCCCGUGAGAAAAAAACAUGGAAGACAAUGUGUUGGUGUUGUUGUUCUAUGCUAUGGAAGACAAGUGGAAGCUUCUGAUGUCUCCUUUGUUGCUCAUGCUCUUGCUUAUCUCACCACUGGCUUCCUUCCACUGUAGUUGCAUACACGCAUAAACGGAACCUUCAUAAGUUUUCAUUUCCCUCCUCGUCUUCUGUAUUUUUGUUACAUCUAAAGAUGCGAUUUUUAACACCACAUUUCUUCAUUUGCCCACCCGUCUUCUAUGUUUUUUCUUUUUGUUUUUUUCCAUUUCGCUUCCUAUGUUCUUUGUUUGGCAGAGAAGGUGGACAAACACACUAAAGCUGUGAUUUUGAUGAGUAUGGGGGCGUUUUCUUUGUUGCUCUGACGUUGAUGCGCUUCGUUUACCCUCCCCAUCUCCUGCGUUUUUUAUUAUUCCGAUCUGUUGCGGUUUUUGAUGCUUAAAGUUUUCUUGCAUGCUUUUGGUUUCGUAGAGAAGCUCGAAGAACACACUAAAGCUUCAAUUUUUUUAUUUUUAUAAGUAUGGGUGCGUUUAUAUUGAUGCUCCUUCAAAGCUUUAUGAUGUUGCUUUGCUUAAACUUAUCUUGCAUGUUCUUUGUUUCGCAGUGAAGGUCGAACAACACACUAAAACUUUGAUUUUUAUCUUUAAAAAAAAACAACGAUUUUUAUCACAAUAGGUGUGUUUUCUUUGUAGUUCUUUCAAAGCUUAAUUUUUUUGAUUAAUUGUUUGGGUGUUCCUGAUCCUUCUCCUACUUUGUUUCGCAUAGAAGCCCAAAGAACACACUAAAGCUUUGAUUUUUAUCUCAAAAAAAGCAGAGAUUUUUAUCACAACAGGUGCGAUUUUUUUUGGUUAAUUGUUUGGGUGUUCCUGAUCCUUCUUCUACCUUGAUGGCGCUUUCUUUGUUUUCCCUCCCCGUGUUCUGCGUUUUCUUCCAUUUCGAUUUGUUGGGGAUUUUCUAAAUUAUUUCUUAAUCUUUUAUUUUGUGUUCUUUGUUCUGCGUUUUCUUCCAUUUCUCCUUUGCAUGUUGAUUGUUAUGUCCCCUUAUCCCCUUAUUUGAUGUAUACAGGUUUCAAUUUUUUGGUGUUCCUCACACUAAACUUUGAUUUUUAUCUCAAAAAAAGCAGAGAUUUUUAUCACAAUAGGUGCAAUUUUUUUGGUUAAUUGUUUGGGUGUUCCUGAUCUUUCUUCUACCUUGAUGGUGCUUUCUUUGUUUUCCCUCCCCGUGUUCUGCGUUUUCUUCCAUUUUGAUUUGUUGGGGCUUUUUUAAAUUAUUGCUUAAUCUUUUAUUCCGUGUUCUUUGUUCUGCGUUUUCUUCCAUUUCUCCUUUGCAUGUUGAUUGUUAUGUCCCUUUAUCCCCUUAUUUGAUGUAUACAGGUUUCAAUUUUUUGGUGUUCCUCAUAUUUAUUGGUCCGUAGUGGUGACUUUAUUUUCAUUUGGUUUGAAGAUUACUUCCUUCAUAGUUUAGAGUAUAUGUUAACUUAGCCUUUACAAUAUCAUUCAGGUUAUAUUAUGUUGCCCAAAUUCCUAUAUUUUUGUCAAUUUUGUCUCACAUUAUUAAUUCAUUGGUGGGUUAUGCUUUGAAACAUAUUGGCCUUCGCAAUUUAAAGUAUAUAUUAACUUAGGCUUGACAAUAUCAUUCAGGUUAUGUUAUGUUGCCCAAAUUCCUAUAUUUUUUUCAAUUUUGUCUCAGAUUAUUAAUUCAUUGGUGGGUUAUGCUCUGAAACAUAUUGGUCUUCGCAAUUUAAAGUAUAUAUUAACUUAGCCUUGACAAUAUCAUUCAGGUUAUGUUAUGUCUACUCUAAAACAUAUUGGUUUUCAUUCUUUUACAUGUGCAAUGAUAACUUUUGCUUAUCUAAAUGAUAUAGUUUCUAAAGAGUUAUUUGUAUAUAAUAGUUUUAUUUUUAUUCGCAUGCUUGUCUAUCAUUAAUAAAUGAUACGCCAACUUUGUUUGCUUUUGUAGCAGUGGUGCAUUUUGUAUCACCUACUUAUUAUUUGUGUGUGUAUUCUGUUGUUUAGUUAAGGUUGUUUAUAUUUUGGUAUAUCCUAACUGGUUUUUUAUUUUGACCGAGACCAACAAACUACACGACUAAUAGUGUCCGACAUUUCGAGUACAGUGGUUGUUAAUGUCAGAGUCACCGAUGAUGCUUCUAUUCUAAAGCAAUCCAAAUUCAAGGGCCCGUCAAAUUUGUAGGUAUCAACAAUUGUGCACUAAUUUGAGGCGACAUUCCGUCUUGAGAAGAACGUCAUUGAGGUUCCUUUAUCUUAUCAUAGAAAAUGGUCCCAUGGCAUUUACGAAAGUGUUAUCAUGUGUUUUGUUGCAUGGGACAAAAAUACUAAUUUCAAUGUGGACGUUGUGGGACCUCUACAUAGACAAACACACCAAAGGUAAGCCACAACCACCAAACGCCAUGUUUUUACCAUUGAUGUCUCUGGAGAUAUGAUACAAAACAAUUAUCAAUUGGUUUUGCCACCAGAGGCUUCAAAUUAUUUAUCUGGAUCAAAAAAAUAUAUGAUUGUAGAUCGUGGUCGUGGUAGACUUUACGAAUGGAUGAUCACCAUAAAUAAUGGCCUAUAUCAUGUGUUGUUGAGUCCUGGAUCCAAUAUUUAGCUGACAGUCAUUUGAAGCCUGGAGAUGAGGUUGCCUUCUUCUACAACUUUGACCAACAUUUAUGGGAGGUCCUCUAUAGGAAGCAAGUUAAAUGGAAUCAGGAAGAGGACAAAGUUGACUCCACUUGAAUAACUCUUUAAUUAUUUAUGUUUGUUUUAUUUUUAUAUAUUAUGUUUGUAACUUAAUUACCUUCGGGUAACGAACAAUUU